UUCAUUUUGAAACAACGAGAAAAGACAUGACAAGGGGGAGGAGAGAUCUGGCUCUCAAAAUCCUACAGGCAUCAGUCUUUGAUGAGCAAAGCUGUUGUGCAAUGUGUGCAGCAGUAAAGCCUCCAGGAUCUGGACCUCCAGUUACAGACUAGGUCCAGUGUGAUGCUGUGACAGAUGGUUUCAUAGGCUGUGUGUGGAAAUGGACAAAAAGACAUAUUCAGUGGCCAAGACAGGAACUUGGGAGUGUGUCCUGUGCAA